GGUCCAUCCACUAGUUUCUGGAACGUUGCUUAGCAUGAUAUCUUGCCUACUCAGUCUUGUGCAGAACACUGAUCGGGGUUUGUUGCGUGCAGCCACAAUUUAAGUAUGCAGUAUGGAGUAUGCUCACCCCAAAGUUGCAGCAGGUGCUUGUCAGGGCUGGAUGUUGCGCCAGUAAGCUCUAGUUCGCAUGUCGCUCUUUGCAGUGUGUAAAGGAUGCGUGUUGCUAGCGAUUCUUUAACACCUUCACAUUUUGCAGACUCAAGUGCAUCACGGAAAUGGUCCCAGCCUGAAAUCCUGAUUUUGUGAAUAUGGUACAUUUUCACCCCUACGUCAAGUGUUGUAUCGGAUAAUGGUCGCUGCCUCUUGGUGCACAGUCGCACUGACACUCUGGAUGAAGGCCCCAGUUGCCCAUGCUAGACACUCAUGAGUCCUGCGGGAAACAAAGAGAUAAACGAGCUAAGAAGUCUAUUCUAGAUGGACGGCAACAAAUAAAAAUACGCAGAGCACUGUCCAGAGGGCCCACGAUGCGGCGGUCGGGCAUGACCUGACUGUCCCAACGUGGGAGCGGCCCGCAGUGUGCUGAGUCGCGUACCUCAGGACAUUCAAUAAAGUUUUGCAUUCAUCCAUCCA